rnacentral:rRNA from 1 species
CGCUGGCGGCGUGCUUAACACAUGCAAGUCGAACGGAAAGGCCUUGUGCUUGCACAAGGUACUCGAGUGGCGAACGGGUGAGUAACACGUGGGUGAUCUGCCCUGCACUGUGGGAUAAGCCUGGGAAACUGGGUCUAAUACCAUAUAGGACCGCACUUUGGAUGGUGUGGUGGAAAGCUUUUGCGGUGUGGGAUGAGCCUGCGGCCUAUCAGCUUGUUGGUGGGGUAAUGGCCUACCAAGGCGGCGACGGGUAUCCGGCCUGAGAGGGUGUACGGACACAUUGGGACUGAGAUACGGCCCAGACUCCUACGGGAGGCAGCAGUGGGGAAUAUUGCACAAUGGGCGCAAGCCUGAUGCAGCGACGCCGCGUGGGGGAUGAAGGCCUUCGGGUUGUAAACUCCUUUCGCUAUCGACGAAGCCACUUGUGGUGACGGUAGGUAGAUAAGAAGCACCGGCUAACUACGUGCCAGCAGCCGCGGUAAUACGUAGGGUGCAAGCGUUGUCCGGAAUUACUGGGCGUAAAGAGCUCGUAGGUGGUUUGUCGCGUCGUCUGUGAAAUCCCGGGGCUUAACUUCGGGCGUGCAGGCGAUACGGGCAUAACUUGAGUGCUGUAGGGGAGACUGGAAUUCCUGGUGUAGCGGUGAAAUGCGCAGAUAUCAGGAGGAACACCGAUGGCGAAGGCAGGUCUCUGGGCAGUUACUGACGCUGAGGAGCGAAAGCAUGGG